UGGGGAAGUCUUGGACAAUGGGCGGCAAGCCUGAUCCAGCCAUGCCGCGUGAGUGAUGAAGGCCUUAGGGUUGUAAAGCUCUUUUGCCGGGGACGAUAAUGACGGUACCCGGAGAAUAAGUCCCGGCUAACUUCGUGCCAGCAGCCGCGGUAAUACGAAGGGGACUAGCGUUGUUCGGAAUCACUGGGCGUAAAGCGCACGUAGGCGGAUUUGUAAGUCAGGGGUGAAAUCCCGGGGCUCAACCUCGGAACUGCCUUUGAUACUGCGGAUCUCGAGUCCGAUAGAGGUGAGUGGAAUUCCUAGUGUAGAGGUGAAAUUCGUAGAUAUCGGGAGGAACAUCAGUGGCGAAGGCGGCCCUCUGGUCCAGUACUGACACUCAAGUGCGAAAGCGUGGGGAGCAAACAGGAUUAGAUACCCCUGUAGUCCCUGAGCGGGCUGGCAAGGCGCAU
rnacentral:rRNA from 1 species